CAUGGCUGCAGUUUUUGGGACCCCAAGUUGCAGGAACCAGCAGACGAUGAACAGAUUUACAUCAUUCGUCUGAUAUUCCACGGGAGAAAAGAUGUCCACGCAGGAAUUCCAAGAAGAGUGAAGAAAAGCCGCCAUCAUCCUCCAUGGAGCCUCAACAGUGUCAGGCUGGUGACCAGAUGAAUCUUGAUAAACUUCAAGGUCAGAGGAACAUCACAGCAGGGGUCAACAGACACGAACCAGGCUGGGUUUCUCUAAACGAAGGCAGACCACAGACUUGUUGGAUGGUUCACUCAUUCAUUCAUUCAUUGACCACUUCUCUCAUUCAGAGUGAACUUGAGCCUAUCCCAGCUGUCUUUGGGUGAGAGGUGAGGUCCACCCUGCUCACUCUCUGAACUUUUAUAAACAUUCACACCUAUGGACAGUUUAGAGCAAUGUUUCUUAACCGUCUACCAGCGCUCCUGAGAGGGCCAGCAAAAAUAUUUGUUUCUCCGUUGUGGUCCAUACGGGUACGCAGUGGUAUUACAUUUUUCCACCACGUGUGGCAGUAAUGAUAAUAUCAAGCAAACAUAAGAAGUCUGGAGCUAAAGCCACUAAGACAUUUUUUAAGUGCAAAAAUUAUGACUCAAGUAGUGAAACUGUAUUUUCAUUUGCAUUUAAAUUAUAAUUGUAGUAGUUCAUUAACUUUAAUAUUAUCAAUUUGUUUAGAAUGUAUUGAUUUUAGUGCGGCGUAAUUGUAUGUAAAUGUAUUUUUCAUCAGUUUUUUACAUCUCUUUUGCAGUAUAUUUGAUUCAUAUUUAUUUUUGUAAUCAGUCUGGUUUAAGCCUUGAUAAUAAUCUUUGUGAUUAACACAUGGCUUCAUAUCAUUUGACAAGGUUUAAACUGCAAGUACGUUAGAUAUAAUUAUUGAGCAUGAUUAAAAUGAAGAGUAAGAUUACUAAUUGAGUUUUAAUAUUGUGUACUGUGUAGUGGAGAAGUUGGACCCAGAGGUCAAACAGAUUAACUUUGCAUUUGGACUGUGGGAGGAAGCCAGAGUGGACAAAGUAAAGACCCGAGCCGAGGUUCUAACCUGACCACAUGUCCACCGUCCUGCCUUUAGGUCAAGUUCCACAACAAUUGAAGUGUGUUUCACGCCUGAUGGAUGAAGUGUGGUGUUCCACGUGUCUUUGCAGAUGAAAUAUCAUUUAAAAGUCUCCACGCAUGGAAGCCUUGAAACGGUGGAGCUGAGAGAAAACACUGACUUUUAAUUACUUAAUCCCCUCACUGCUUUGCUUUGUUUGGCUAACUUUAAAACCACUCUUUGCCCUCAAAGCCUGCUUGCCUUGCAGGGGUCAGCGCCCCAGGUUGUGUCUGGGGGUCCCUGGGUCCCGCUGCCCAUCCCUCCUGGAUGCCCUGCUCGGUGGGCAUGGUCCCCCCAACCCCCCUGUCACAGUUUGUGGUGGCGCCUUGGUGUGCCAUGUGGUUGUU